AACCCAGACCGGACGGCGCGACGCGGUCCCUGAGUAGGGCCGGGCACGUGAAACCCGGUCCGAACCUGGGUGGACCACCAUCCAAGCCUGAGUACUACCCUGUGACCGAUAGCGCACCAGUACCGUGAGGGAAAGGUGAAAAGCACCCCGGGAGGGGAGUGAAACAGUACCUGAAACCGUGCGCCCACGAGCAGUCGGAGCACCUUUAUGGUGUGACGGCGUGCCUUUUGUAGAAUGAGCCAGCGAGUCGCUGGCGCGGGGCGAGGUUAACCGAAAGGGAGCCGGAGCGAAAGCGAGCCUUAACAGGGCGACUUGAGUCCCGCGCCGCGGACGCGAAGCCGGGUGAGCUAUCCGUGGGCAGGCUGAAGCGGGGGUAAGACCCCGUGGAGGGCCGAACGCACGUCGGUUGAAAACGGCGGCGAUGACCUGCGGAUAGGGGUGAAAGGCCAAUCAAACCCGGAGAUAUCUCGUUCUCCCCGAAAUAGCUUUAGGGCUAGCGUCGCGCGUUCACCGCCGGAGGUAGAGCACCGGAUGGACGAGGGGGCUUCGCCGCCUACCGAAUCCAACCGAACUCCGAAUGCCGGCGGCCCAGAGCGCGGCAGUCAGAGCAUGUGGGCUAAGCUGUGUGCUCGAGAGGGAAACAGCCCGGACCGCCCGCUAAGGUCCCCAAGUUCCAGCCGAGUGGCAAAGGAUGUGCGUCCGCCCAGACAACCAGGAUGUUGGCUUAGAAGCAGCCAUGCAUUCAAAGAGUGCGUAACAGCUCACUGGUCGAGUGGACAUGCGCCGACAAUACACGGGGCUAAGCUGGACACCGAAGCGGCGGGAUUUUGAUUUUCAGAAUCGGUAGGGGAGCUUCCCAUGGGCGGAGAAGCCGGAGGGCGACCGACGGUGGAGCGCAUGGGAGUGAGAAUGCUGGCAUGAGUAGCGAGAGACGAGAGAGUAACUCGUCCGCCGUGAACCCGAGGUUUCCUGGGCAAGGCUAAUCCUCCCAGGGUCAGUCGGGGGCUAAGGCGAGGCCGGGAGGCGUAGCCGACGCGCAGCAGGCAGACAUUCCUGCACCGCGCACGCGGCGCUACGACCGACGGGGCGACGGAUGGGGGUGGCUCGGCGGGGUUCUGGACGUCCCCGUGAUGGAGCGCGGCCCGCGGACCAGGGAAAUCCGGUCCGCAUCGAGGGCGAGGCUCCGGACGAAGCACUUAAGCGAAGCGAGUGAGCCCGAGGUCCCUAGAAAAACCCCUAGGCAGGCGCGUGCGCGCCCGUACCGCAAACCGACACAGGUGGGUGGGUAGAACAUACCGAGGCGAUCGGGUCAACCAUGGUCAAGGAACUCGGCACAAUGGCCCCGUAACUUCGGGAGAAGGGGUGCCCGCGCGUACGUGAACGGACUUGCUCCGGGAGCGGAGGCGGGCCGCAGUGGAGAGGCCCAAGCGACUGUUUACCAAAAACACAGGACUCUGCAGAAGCCGCAAGGCGACGUAUAGGGUCUGACGCCUGCCCGGUGCCGGAAGGUCACGCGGAGGAGUUAGCGCAUCGCGCGAAGCCCCGAAGCCAAGCCCCGGUAAACGGCGGCCGUAACUAUAACGGUCCUAAGGUAGCGAAAUUCCUUGUCGGGUAAGUUCCGACCUGCACGAAAGGCGCAACGACUUGGGCGCUGUCUCGACCAUGGACCCGGUGAAAUUGCACUGGUCGUGAAGAUGCGACUUACCCGCGGAAGGACGGAAAGACCCCGUGAACCUUCACUGCAGCUUGGCAUUGGCCGCUGGUCCCGCGUGUAGAGGAUAGGCAGGAGGCGAAGAUCCGGAGGCGCCAGCCCCCGGGGAGCCGCCCUUGGAAUACUGCCCUCGCGCGACCGGCGUCCUAACCCGAGGCCGUCAACCGGCUCGGGGACCGUGCCAGGCGGGCAGUUUGACUGGGGCGGUCGCCUCCUAAAGGGUAACGGAGGCGCGCGAAGGUCCGCUCGGGACGGUCGGCAACCGUCCUUUUGAAUGCAAGAGUACAAGCGGGCUUGACUGCGAGGCCCACAAGCCGAGCAGGUGCGAAAGCAGGCUCUAGUGAUCCGGCGGCCCCGAGUGGGUGGGCCG
rnacentral:rRNA from 1 species